AACGAACGCUGGCGGCAUGCCUAACACAUGCAAGUCGAACGGGAUCCUAGCUUGCUAGGUGAGAGUGGCGGACGGGUGAGUAACACGUGGGAAUCUGCCUUUUGGUUCGGGAUAACCGCGGGAAACUGCGGCUAAUACCGAAUGCCCUCGAGAGAGGAAAGAUUUAUCGCCAGAAGAGGAGCCCGCGUCCGAUUAGGUAGUUGGUGGGGUAAAAGGCCUACCAAGCCGACGAUCGGUAGCUGGUCUGAGAGGAUGAUCAGCCACACUGGGACUGAGAUACGGCCCAGACUCCUACGGGAGGCAGCAGUGGGGAAUAUUGGACAAUGGGGGGCAACCCUGAUCCAGCAAUGCCGCGUGAGUGAUGAAGGCCUUAGGGUUGUAAAGGCUCUUUUGCCAGGGAAGAUGAUGACUGUACCUGGAGAAUAAGCCCCGGCUAACUUCGUGCCAGCAGCCA
rnacentral:rRNA from 1 species